rnacentral:rRNA from 1 species
GGGCGUAGGAAUAUUGCGGAGAGCUGCUCCUAGUACGAGAGGACCGGAGUGGACGCACCGCUAGUGUACCUGUUGUGUGGUCGCAUGCAUCGCAGGGUAGCUAUGUGCGGAAGUGAUAAGCCGCUGAAUGCAUCUAAGCGCGAAGCACGCUCCAAGAUAAGUAUUCCCUAAGAGCCUCCUGGUAGACGACCAGGUAGAUAGGCGACAGGUGUCCCCAUGGUAACAUGGUUAGCCGAGUCGUACUAAUUAGG